rnacentral:rRNA from 1 species
UACGUAGGGUGCAAGCGUUAAUCGGAAUUACUGGGCGUAAAGCGUGCGCAGGCGGCUAUGCAAGACAGAUGUGAAAUCCCCGGGCUCAACCUGGGAACUGCAUUUGUGACUGCAUAGCUAGAGUACGGUAGAGGGGGAUGGAAUUCCGCGUGUAGCAGUGAAAUGCGUAGAUAUGCGGAGGAACACCGAUGGCGAAGGCAAUCCCCUGGACCUGUACUGACGCUCAUGCACGAAAGC